rnacentral:rRNA from 1 species
UGAGGAACAUGACCUUCGGCGGGGGAUAGCCGGCCCAACGGCCGGGUAAUACCGCGUACGACCUUUUGGGGACAUCCCCGAUUGGUGAAAGCAGCAAUGCGCCGAUGGAGUGCCUCGCGGCCUUUCAGCUAGUUGGUGAGGUAACGGCUCACCAAGGCGACGACGGGUAGCUGGUCUGAGAGGAUGGCCAGCCCACAGUUGGGACUGAGACACCGGCCCAGACCUCCGUGGCGGGGAGGNACGCG